rnacentral:rRNA from 1 species
AUUGAACGCUGGCGGCAUGCCUUACACAUGCAAGUCGAACGGCAGCACGGGUGCUUGCACCUGGUGACGAGUGGCGAACGGGUGAGUAAUACAUCGGAACAUGUCCUGUAGUGGGGGAUAGCCCGGCGAAAGCCGGAUUAAUACCGCAUACGAUCUACGGAUGAAAGCGGGGGACCUUCGGGCCUCGCGCUAUAGGGUUGGCCGAUGGCUGAUUAGCUAGUUGGUGGGGUAAAGGCCUACCAAGGCGACGAUCAGUAGCUGGUCUGAGAGGACGACCAGCCACACUGGGACUGAGACACGGCCCAGACUCCUACGGGAGGCAGCAGUGGGGAAUUUUGGACAAUGGGCGAAAGCCUGAUCCAGCAAUGCCGCGUGUGUGAAGAAGGCCUUCGGGUUGUAAAGCACUUUUGUCCGGAAAGAAAUCCUUGGCUCUAAUACGGUCGGGGGAUGACGGUACCGGAAGAAUAAGCACCGGCUAACUACGUG